GGUUAAGCGACUAAGCGUACACGGUGGAUGCCCUGGCAGUCAGAGGCGAUGAAGGACGUGCUAAUCUGCGAAAAGCGUCGGUAAGGUGAUAUGAACCGUUAUAGCCGGCGAUGUCCGAAUGGGGAAACCCAGUGCAAUUCGUUGCACUAUCGUUAACUGAAUACAUAGGUUAACGAGGCGAACCGGGGGAACUGAAACAUCUAAGUACCCCGAGGAAAAGAAAUCAACCGAGAUUCCCCCAGUAGCGGCGAGCGAACGGGGAGCAGCCCAGAGUCUGAAUCAGCUUGUGUGUUAGUGGAACGGUCUGGAAAGUCCGACGGUACAGGGUGAUAGUCCCGUACACCAAAAUGCACAGGCUGUGAACUCGAAGAGUAGGGCGGGACACGUGGUAUCCUGUCUGAAUAUGGGGGGACCAUCCUCCAAGGCUAAAUACUCCUGACUGACCGAUAGUGAACCAGUACCGUGAGGGAAAGGCGAAAAGAACCCCGGCGAGGGGAGUGAAAAAGAACCUGAAACCGUGUACGUACAAGCAGUGGGAGCACCUUCGGGUGUGACUGCGUACCUUUUGUAUAAUGGGUCAGCGACUUAUAUUCUGUAGCAAGGUUAACCGUAUAGGGGAGCCGCAGGGAAACCGAGUCUUAACUGGGCGUUAAGUUGCAGGGUAUAGACCCGAAACCCGGUGAUCUAGCCAUGGGCAGGUUGAAGGUUGGGUAACACUAACUGGAGGACCGAACCGACUAAUGUUGAAAAAUUAGCGGAUGACUUGUGGCUGGGGGUGAAAGGCCAAUCAAACCGGGAGAUAGCUGGUUCUCCCCGAAAGCUAUUUAGGUAGCGCCUCGUGAAUUCAUCUUCGGGGGUAGAGCACUGUUUCGGCUAGGGGGUCAUCCCGACUUACCAACCCGAUGCAAACUACGAAUACCGAAGAAUGUUAUCACGGGAGACACACGGCGGGUGCUAACGUCCGUCGUGAAGAGGGAAACAACCCAGACCGCCAGCUAAGGUCCCAAAGUCAUGGUUAAGUGGGAAACGAUGUGGGAAGGCACAGACAGCCAGGAUGUUGGCUUAGAAGCAGCCAUCAUUUAAAGAAAGCGUAAUAGCUCACUGGUCGAGUCGGCCUGCGCGGAAGAUGUAACGGGGCUAAACCAUGCACCGAAGCUGCGGCAGCGACACUAUGUGUUGUUGGGUAGGGGAGCGUUCUGUAAGCCUGCGAAGGUGUGCUGUGAGGCAUGCUGGAGGUAUCAGAAGUGCGAAUGCUGACAUAAGUAACGAUAAAGCGGGUGAAAAGCCCGCUCGCCGGAAGACCAAGGGUUCCUGUCCAACGUUAAUCGGGGCAGGGUGAGUCGACCCCUAAGGCGAGGCCGAAAGGCGUAGUCGAUGGGAAACAGGUUAAUAUUCCUGUACUUGGUGUUACUGCGAAGGGGGGACGGAGAAGGCUAUGUUAGCCGGGCGACGGUUGUCCCGGUUUAAGCAUGUAGGCUGGUUGUCCAGGCAAAUCCGGAUAAUCAAGGCUGAGGUGUGAUGACGAGGCACUACGGUGCUGAAGUAACAAAUGCCCUGCUUCCAGGAAAAGCCUCUAAGCAUCAGGUAACAUCAAAUCGUACCCCAAACCGACACAGGUGGUCAGGUAGAGAAUACCAAGGCGCUUGAGAGAACUCGGGUGAAGGAACUAGGCAAAAUGGUGCCGUAACUUCGGGAGAAGGCACGCUGGUGUGUAGGUGAAGUCCCUGCGGAUGGAGCUGAGACCAGUCGAAGAUACCAGCUGGCUGCAACUGUUUAUUAAAAACACAGCACUGUGCAAACACGAAAGUGGACGUAUACGGUGUGACGCCUGCCCGGUGCCGGAAGGUUAAUUGAUGGGGUUAUCCGUAAGGAGAAGCUCUUGAUCGAAGCCCCGGUAAACGGCGGCCGUAACUAUAACGGUCCUAAGGUAGCGAAAUUCCUUGUCGGGUAAGUUCCGACCUGCACGAAUGGCGUAAUGAUGGCCAGGCUGUCUCCACCCGAGACUCAGUGAAAUUGAACUCGCUGUGAAGAUGCAGUGUACCCGCGGCAAGACGGAAAGACCCCGUGAACCUUUACUAUAGCUUGACACUGAACAUUGAGCCUUGAUGUGUAGGAUAGGUGGGAGGCUUUGAAGCGUGGACGCCAGUCUGCGUGGAGCCAACCUUGAAAUACCACCCUUUAAUGUUUGAUGUUCUAACGUUGGCCCCUUACCGGGGUUGCGGACAGUGUCUGGUGGGUAGUUUGACUGGGGCGGUCUCCUCCCAAAGCGUAACGGAGGAGCACGAAGGUUAGCUAAUCCUGGUCGGACAUCAGGAGGUUAGUGCAAUGGCAUAAGCUAGCUUGACUGCGAGCGUGACGGCGCGAGCAGGUGCGAAAGCAGGUCAUAGUGAUCCGGUGGUUCUGAAUGGAAGGGCCAUCGCUCAACGGAUAAAAGGUACUCCGGGGAUAACAGGCUGAUACCGCCCAAGAGUUCAUAUCGACGGCGGUGUUUGGCACCUCGAUGUCGGCUCAUCACAUCCUGGGGCUGAAGUAGGUCCCAAGGGUAUGGCUGUUCGCCAUUUAAAGUGGUACGCGAGCUGGGUUUAGAACGUCGUGAGACAGUUCGGUCCCUAUCUGCCGUGGGCGCUGGAGAAUUGAGGGGGGCUGCUCCUAGUACGAGAGGACCGGAGUGGACGCAUCACUGGUGUUCGGGUUGUCAUGCCAAUGGCACUGCCCGGUAGCUAAAUGCGGAAGAGAUAAGUGCUGAAAGCAUCUAAGCACGAAACUUGCCCCGAGAUGAGUUCUCCCUGAGACUUUAAGUCUCCUGAAGGAACGUUGAAGACGACGACGUUGAUAGGCCGGGUGUGUAAGCGCAGCGAUGCGUUGAGCUAACCGGUACUAAUGAACCGUGAGGCUUAACCUU
rnacentral:rRNA from 1 species